AACGAACGCUGGCGGCAUGCCUAACACAUGCAAGUCGAACGAGACCUUCGGGUCUAGUGGCGCACGGGUGCGUAACGCGUGGGAAUCUGCCCUUCGGUUCGGAAUAACUCAGGGAAACUUGAGCUAAUACCGGAUAAUGACGUAAGUCCAAAGAUUUAUCGCCGAAGGAUGAGCCCGCGUAGGAUUAGCUUGUUGGUGGGGUAAAUGGCCCACCAAGGCGACGAUCCUUAGCUGGUCUGAGAGGAUGAUCAGCCACACUGGGACUGAGACACGGCCCAGACUCCUACGGGAGGCAGCAGUGGGGAAUAUUGGACAAUGGGCGAAAGCCUGAUCCAGCAAUGCCGCGUGAGUGAUGAAGGCCUUAGGGUUGUAAAGCUCUUUUACCCGGGAUGAUAAUGACAGUACCGGGAGAAUAAGCUCCGGCUAACUCCGUG
rnacentral:rRNA from 1 species